rnacentral:rRNA from 1 species
UACGUAGGGGGCAAGCGUUGUCCGGAAUUAUUGGGCGUAAAGCGCGCGCAGGCGGUUCUUUUAGUCGAGUGGUUAAGCCCGGGGCUCAACCCCGGGUCACACUGGAAACGGGAGAACUUGAGUGCAAAAGAGGAGAGUGGAAUUCCACGUGUAGCGGUGAAAUGCGUAGAUAUGUGGAGGAACACCAGUGGCGAAGGCGACUCUCUGGGUUGUUACUGACGCUGAGGCGCGAAAGCGUGGGGAGCAAACAGG